rnacentral:lncRNA from 1 species
CAGCCAGCGCAAUCACCACCAUGCCGUCGGGCGCGCGUCCGGCCUUGCGCCGUCCGGCCAUGCCCAGCAUUCCGCUGUCGAUUCCGCCGCCACCACCGUCAGUGGCCUCGCUGCCGCUGGCGCCCGUGAGUGUGUCGGUCGUGCGGCUCCCAUCAACGUCGCGGUUGGUGCUGCCCGUGGCGCCGGGCAUAUAGUGCGUGGCAGACGACGACGACGAAUCGGACGCGCCAUAGGGUCGCGCGUCUUGCACGAGGCCGGCUAGUUCACCCAGUUCGCUGAGCACGCCCAAAAAGGUUGGGCGCGCCGAUGGAUCCGUGUCCCAGCAUGACCUGUAGAGACCCACAUAGGCAGCGACGAUGGCCCGCGGCAUGGCCUCGUUCUCGACGGCCGCCGAGAUAUCGUCCUCGGGCUCGUAGCGCGCCGCGUCAAACACGUCGACGCCCUCGGCGGCGAGGGCCGCACGGGCGACGUGCGCGUCGGGCCGCAUGCCGUCGCGCAUGACCGCCACCUGGAUGGCCGCCGGGCUGCACCCUCGGUAGGGCGAGUCGCGCGUGAGCAACUCCCACAGGACGAUGCCAAACGAGUAGACGUCGGCGGCCUGCACGUCGGCCUCGUCGCCGCCCGACGCCCAGCGGAUGCGCUCUGGCGCUGCCCAGUGCACAGUGCCCAGGUUGUGAUGUUGCUGUUGCUGGUGUUGAGCGUCGACUCCGCCGAUGAGGCCGCCGCCCUUGCCAUUGUUGCCGUUGUUGUUGCCGCCGCGCAUCGACGAGAGGCCAAAGUCGCUCACCUUGGUCUGCCACUUUUCCGUGAUCAAGAUGUUGAGCGACUUGAGGUCGCCGUGGCUGAUGCCCGACGAGUGCAGAAAGUGCAUGCCCUUGGCGGCGUGAUGGGCGAUGGCCACCUUCAACUUGAACGGGAUCUGCACCAAGAGUUCAUUAUCGAGCACGUCGCGCAGCGAUCCGAGCGCCAUGUGCUCCAUGACGAUGGCGAGCACGGGCGGGCGCGUCGACGCGCCCAUAAACAUGACCACGUGCGGGUGACGCAGGGUGCACAUCACCCUGACCUCUUCGGAAAAGUGGGCCAGCGCGGUGCGGUCCCACCCGCGGGCGGGCGUGUGGAAGCGCUUGACGGCGACGCGCGUGCCGCGCCACGUGCCCUCGAAUACGUUGGACGUCGCGCCGGCGCCCAGGUCGCGCAGGAUGGUGAUCUCCUCGGGGUCAAUCUCGCAGCCCGAGUCGAGCGCGCGGCGGCGCGCGCCCCGGUGACGCACGACCACGAGCGCGGCCACGAGCAGCACCAAAAGGACGAUGCCACAGCAGACCGGCACCGCCACGCCGACGGCAAUGCCCACGAUGACCGAGGUCGACACGCCGUCGUCUCUUGAUGUGGAAUCCGCAUCGACCGUUUCGCAGUGGGCGCCCGUCCAGCCGGCAUCACACGAGCACGCAACGGCAGACCAUGUCGUUGUCGUUGUUGGCGGUGUCGAUGGCGACGCGCUGGCAAGGCACUUGCCGUGGUUGGCACACACGGUGACGGCCACCGCCGGGUCGGCAGCGUCUGGCGGCACAUAGAGACAUGGCGCCACGCCGAGUACCUGGACAGGCUCACCCGCGCUCGAUAAGCACGUGACGUCGGCGAGCGCCGAGAUGAUGCGCGCGGCGGCCGCCGGUCCCGCGGCGCGCGCCGACGUGGCGAGGCCCUGUGCGGCCGCCACUGUCACGCCAUCGUCAGACGUCUGGGUCCAGUAAAAGGCAUCAACGAGGCCGGCCGCCUUGGCACAGUCGGGCGUCGUCUCACGGUGCAUGUAGGCAUGGUGCCACCCGAGAAUGGGCCAGGCGCCAGCAGUCGCCGCACCCACCAUCAUCGUGGGCAGGCCGGCAAAGGGGAGGGUCGCAUUGGCCCUUGGCGCAUGUGAUGAUGACUGCGGUAGAGAUGAUGUUGAUGAUGUCAUUGGGGAAUAGGCCGUGGCACGACGUGCAGGACUGCGGGCAACAAAGUCGUCGAGAACAAAGUCGGCCGUGGCCAGGGCCAAGGCAUCGGCCUUGGGCGACACGCGGUUGCCGUUGGCGUCGCGCAGGUCGGCCACGCUCGGAUUGCGCGCCGCGAGGGCGGCCUCGAUGGCAUCAACGCCCACCGAAUAGAGCGUGGCUUUGACGGCCGCGGCGACGUGAUCCCCGGCCACAAGAAUGCGCGCGGGCGCCGACGAUUCAAGGGGGUAGACAAUCGAGGCGAGCCCUGUCGUCGUCGCCGAUCCAUUAAGCACCUCGGCACGAAAUGCGGCAUCGGCCGCCAUGUACUCGGCGGCAAAGCGGUUGGCCACACCGCCGAGCGGGCCGCCGGCGCCCGAUGCCGUGCCGCCCUUGGCCAGCGCGACGAUGAUCUGGCGGCCGGGCAAGAGUUCGGCGAGCGACGGGUUGGCUGCCACAAUGUCCACGUGGUUCCACACGUCGAUACGACCCAGGAAGAUGCCGGCCAAGAGGUUGGCGUCCAAGAGCAGGGACACCCCCGCACGCGCAAUCUCGGGCACAUUGUAGAUGGCGGCAUAGGGUCGCACGGCCAUCGGCACCGACAUGCAGUCGACACAGGCCGCCGCCAGUACGGGCGUCAGAUCGGUGGCACCCGCCGACGUCACGGCAAAGUCGACGCCAUACAAGGCGAGUCGCGAGAUGGCCUCGUCCUCGCCGUCCUCGGCCAACUUGAGGCGCGUGGCAGAGGCGGCGCCCACACGAGACGCAUAGGCCUGCAUCCAGCCCGACCACACGAGCGACGUCGUGCCGGCACCGACGAGGGCGGCCGCCGCGACGCGUGUCGUGCCCACAGCGGUCACGGUAGUGGUGGUCGUGCCCGUGGCGGCAGCGGUCACGGCAGUGGUCGUGCCCGUGAUAGUGGCAGUGGUCGUACGGGUGUCUUGUGUGGCUCCAUCCAUUGGGUCGGCCUCGGUGGUUCCGUUGUAAAGAGUCGACGACGAUGAUGGGGCCAUGUCGCCCGACGAUCCAGAGGAAGAAAAAGAGCCACAGAGCGAAAUGGCGCCCAUCAUGUCGGUGGCCCGCUGGCGAAAGUUGCUCGACAGCGGGACCAGGCCGCGCGAGGCCAGCGUGGCCGCCAGCGCGCCGUCGUUGAUUUCGAGCCAGGCGAGAAAGUCGAGCGCGGCCUCGGCAUACUGGCAGUCGUAGCCGGCCGGGAUUGCGUCUGUGCGCAACACCGCCGUAACGAGACCCACGACGGGCCACGUGUUGGGGUCGUCCAAGUUGGACAGGCCCAGCACGCCCGUGUUGUAGGGGAUGUUGCGCAGGGCGAGUGCGUCAUAGGUGUUCAGGGCUGCAUGCGCGGCCGAAGGCAUCCAGCCGAAAAAGAACCGGCCGGCGCGGUUGGUGAGCAUGGGCCGCAUGUACGGAGCCGUCGCCGGGUCGCCUCCUAUCGUGUACGCAAUGACGCCGUCGCCCGAUGCCAAGGCCGCCGUGGUCGACGCAAAGAGGCGCGCACCCGUUACGGGAUCGUAGACGGGACCGGAAGGCGUCGUCCCGGCGGGCACAACGACCGACCAGGUCACGGGAUCGACCAGGAGGGUGCGGUUGAUGCCCGCCGUGGCCAAGACGAGAGCGGCGAGGUCACCGCCGUGGGCAGCAUACGCAUCGGCAAAGGCCGGACUGGCCGACGAUAGGGCCUGCGCAAAGGUGGCGCCGAGCGAGGCCGCCUCGGUUUCGAGAGAUCCGGUGGGAAAGCGCUCGACGGCAAUGAGGACCUCGCCCGGCGGUAGCAUGUCGGGCGUGGCGCCGCUGCCGGCCCCAAAGGCCGGGUCGUCCCAGCGCGUGAUCGUACCCGCCCACACGGCGGCAAAUAGGGGCAGGCCGUCAAAGAUGACCAUGGACGAACCGCCGGCAAACGAAUAGACAACCUCGACGCCAUAGGCCGCCACGGGCAACUGUACGCGCCCGGCCAGCGCACGCGGGACCUGCGCGGCCAAGAGCACGGCGUCGCAUCGACCCGAGUCAUAGUCGGCCAUCGCCGUGGCGGCGUCGGUGCCGAGACGCUGGACGGCCACGUCGUCGACUGUAAAGACAUAGGCCGAGGCCACGACGUCGAGGGCGUCGCCGCCCACUGCGGUGCCCUCAAACAGCAGGGUCUUGGUGGGCGUCACGGGCAGAAUCGACGUGUCGUCGGUCUGGUCAAGAGGCAGGCAUACGGGGUCGGCGAUGACCGCCCUGGAUGCCAGUGCCAACAACAAUAGCACCAAGACUGCCAUAGAGGCCUAGAAGAAGAUGCAAUCCACGCCACCGCAGACAAAAAAACACCGACGUUGGGAUCAGGGAACCAAGGGCCAGCGGCGGACAGGCGCGCAAGCAACGAACGGGGGCAGCGACGUACCCAGAGGAUGCGGCAACGGGAGAAGAGCAUGUCGCCAGAGUGGCGACGCGUCAAGGGCACGGUCAUUGUAAUGUAUGAUCGAUCCCGUGCGGUCGGACGAUGGCGAUGGCGGCGACGGGGAUAAAGGUGGGGUAGUAGUACAGACAAACACGGGUCCUCGCAGUAGGAUCAGUAUUCUUGGCGUCGAUUCCGGUGUCGUCGCGUGUAUGUGUGUAGGUUGUGCGCAAGAGAGGCCGACAGACUCUAAAAAAAGGAGGAGACGACAAGCAAGGAAGGGUAUAUGUCGUCUGUCUGUGCCUGUGCGUGCAUACUGGAGGCAGACCACGCGGCCGCGCCUUUAUGGACCACACAACCCUAUGGGCUCGUCCAAUCCGCACCGUCUAUCCCUUUUUGGCCACACAAAUAGCACCAGGGUUCGUCGGCUCGAAGCAACGGUUGGACUGCUACGGUCUGUUUUCACGCCGGCAUACGGAACUCGAUCGGGGUGUCUGAUCGUGUGGCGGGACACGCAGCGGUUGCCAGCCGACGGUGGUUUUGUCGAUUUCGCGCCCUCUUCCGAUACGACAGCCUCUGCACGUGGGCCUUGACCCCCUACCCCAAACCCUGGGCAAAAGAAUGGUCCCCCUAUUUUGCCUCAUCACCAUACACGCGCUACCGCUCCCUUUUUUCCUCGGUGGCGACAACCACGCACAGGCGGCCGCCCCCUCACAAUGCCCGCGGCUACAGCACCCGCGACCGCGAAAAGAGAAAAAAGGCCAACAAGAAAAGAAUCUGUCUCUUUGUUUUUUUUUCAACUAUAUUUUUUAACGGG